UUGUGUGGCCGGGCCGGAAACAUGGAAGUACGAGGCCUGCAAGAGGCGCUGAAAGUAGAGAUCCAAUGUCACCAGGUAACCAGCCGUCGUUGUUCUCCGGUGGUCGUAAAGAAGCAGCCGCAGAAACAAGAUGUCGCUUAAUAACGUCGAGCACGCGCCACUUGUGCUCUGAAUCUCUACGGCUUUGUUUGUUUGUUUGUUUGUUGUUGUUGUUCGCGGUGCAACAAGAAGCCCUCUUUUCUUCUCGGGCUAAUAAUGCGGUGGUGUGGCGGCGAUCCGGACGCGACCUGAAUAUUUAUGAGGAGCCAAAGAGUCGCCUCCACCUCCUCCUCCUCCUCCACCUCCUCCGCUUUGUUCCUCCCUUCCUCACACUAACAAAACUUGAGGGGACUUUUGUUUUAGCGUAAUAAGGCCGCAGUUACUGAACUAGUUGCCCAGAUGAAGCAGGACCCACAGGUAUUUAAAGUACAUGUAUUACACGGCUAGCUCCUCAAGCUAACGCCGAGGCGGCUGUGCGAGGGAAACUUUAUCGGCCUAAUGCUGCUCCGUGGCGGCUUAGCGUGCAUGUGGAUGCCGUGUGUUUAGGUGGAUGUCCGUGUGGCAGGUGGUGAUUGUCCCCUUGUGUUUUCCCGCAGGAUGGAGAGCUUAAGAGACAGCUACACGACCGGCGGAUAUCAGCCCUGAGCGACAAGCAAGUAAGUCUUCUGGCCUCAUAACAAACAUGGUGGAUGGGGACUCAAAAAGAGAAAAGAUGGGAAAGUGAACGCCGUUCACGCCCGCUGUGUGUGUGUGUGUGUGUCUGUGUGAGUCCGUCUGUGUGUGUGUGUUUGGACUUCCUGUCUCUCGGCAUCUCAAAGUUAUGUUAAAAAAACUGUUCGCGUCCAUUUUGAGUUCAUGUUUCUGGAGAGUAAAAAGGAGCUAAUAAAGGAGCUAGCUUUAGCCUUUAACUCUCCGGCUCGGACUUGUGGCGGGGAGCCGCUACGGCGGAAGUUUAAGACGUUAAGACCGUCUCCACCGGGCCGGAGGUGCUUUUAGGGCCUGUUAAAUGGCGGAUUAUUUGUUACUUUAUACUUUUAGUCCGGUGGUGUUUUUUCUCCUCGCGCAGGGGGGGGCGGUGGGGGGGUCACGUGACCGCAGAUGGUGCACUCGAUUCGCCUGCUUUCACUUUUCUUCCCGUUGCUGUCUUUUUAAUAGCUUUAAACUGGGCUUAACUUUUGAUGCCGCGGUGGCGGUGCCACACGGCGGCAGGUGCUGAUGGAGAAGCCGGGUAGCGGAGUUCAGCACCGCGGACAGCUCCCCCCCCUCUCCCGGUGGCUCGCUGCUGCUGCUGCCUCGCACCGCCCCGCCGGUCGGUCCCAGCCUUGAGAGCGGGGGACUGCCGGCUGGGUCCGCAGGCCCGUUAAAACAGCAACGCCGAUAGUUCGUAAAAUGUCUGCGUACUCUUAUUAAAACGGUCCGUCGUCGUUAGAAUGAAAGCCCGCCGCUCCGAAGCCCCGCUGCUCCCAAAACACGCACUCUGGAGUUGGAGUUCCGUGAGCGGCGGCACUGCGGCUUCCCAGACCCCGUUAACACAUCGCUAAAUGUGACCGUUUAGGUCUGAGCCGUGACGGGAAUCACAGCGCGUGUCUUUGUGUGACUCCACGAGAAACGCGCUUCACUUCGGCGGUUAUCUCACCUGUGUGGACUAAGUUAAGCAAACUAAAGUGGGCUAUGUUUUUUUUUAAAUUAAAGGGCACCUAACCGCCUCAUCCAGCGGCUUUAAUUAGUCCCGAUCGCCGUUAAACUUGGCACAUAGUGGGACUCCAGCACCGCCCAGUUCACCCAGCUUCUGCUGCUCCCUCUGAAGCGUGUGUGUGCUGUGACUUCUCCUUCUGUUUGGUAGUGGAAGCUUCCAUUUUGAGAGAGAAAAGGGGGUGUAUCCCCCCCCCCCCCUCACACCAGAGAGGGGAAAAGUCUGCAGAGUUUUGUGCAGGAGGAGGAGGAGGGGGGAUGGGCCCCAUUCAUGCCGAACAUUACCAUUUUGAUUGCUUUGAUGCUGUUUUUGGAUGUGGGGGGGUCGGCAGUGAAAAGAGAGACACAGAAAGCCCAGUCAGCACCGCUGCACACAGCCAGGUUUUUAAUCACCACGCUGAUUAAUUCUUCUCUUCUAGCUGCCAAACGUGACCUUUUAUUACUUUUUCCUUCUGCACGCACACAUGAACCCGAAUCCUCCUCGUCCGCAACGGAAUAAUAAACUGGAAUGUUUGGAUGUGGUUACUAGCGGCGUGGAGAGCGGGUGGAGGCCUGGAGGUCAUCUCAUGGUCACGGGCUUCAUGUGAGGUUCAGCUCUCACAUGGGUGCAUGUUGUGAAGGAGAACAAGUGGUUUCAUAACACCAGCCCACAGUUUAUCACCAGAGGAGGAGUAGAGGGAUGGAGAUUGGAGGAAUCAAUGGGGGGGGCUCAUGUUCAGUGUGGAGGUCUCUCCUUUAGCCUCCUCCUGAGAGAGAGAGAACUUCAUUUAGUAGAUGUUUCAUAGGAUUAGGUUACUGGAAAACUGUUUUUGAUUUAGUCUUUAGACGAAAAAUGCAUAUUAGUUUUAGUCAGAUUUAGUCAUUUUAAUCCUUCUUAGUUUUAGUCAACGGAAACUAGACUAAAAUGUAAUUAGUUUUAUUCUAGUUUUAGUCACAUUUAACAGCCAUAUUAAACUCUUCCCUUCUCAGGCCCAGAGACCCUGUGUUGUGUCUACAGCUGCAUAAUAGUCCAGCUUGCAGUACUUGGUUGUCCAUUAGAUGUCCCUCCUAGGACAGGUCUAUAGAUGUCCCUCCUAUAGGACAGGUCUAUAGAUGUCCCUCCUAUAGGACAGGUCUAAUAGGACAGGUCUAUAGAUGUCCCUCCUAGGACAGGCCUAUAGAUGUCCCUCCUAUAGGACAGGUCUAUAGAUGUCCCUCCUAGGACAGGUCUAUAGAUGUCCCUCCUAUAGGACAGGCCUAUAGAUGUCCCUCCUAUAGGACAGGUCUAUAGCAGGUCGGCAAACGUUUUGACUCGCGGUCACAGUAGGUUUGUAAAAUGUGACGGAGGAAGAACAAAUGGUUGAAGUGUUUGUGUGAGCGAAUAUAAAUGACGUGUGAAACAUCAUCACAUGAAAGGAUUUGGAUUUUAACAAAUAGCAAAGCAUUUAUUUGCAAGGCAAUUUAACAAAUUGUCAAAGGUGUAACAACUUCAUGAGGACCAGGGACCUAAACGCAACACUUUGUUGUCUUUGUCUGUUUACUUGAGUGCUUUUGACACUUCAUGCUCCUUUAUUGUUUCCACUGUCCCAACUAAAGAGACCUUAACGUCCUACAAUCAAUGCAAUACAUUAUGUUCUUGGCUUCAGAACCUGCAAUAAGUUUAUUACGUUAGACGUGUUUGUGACGGAGCGUCUCAUCCAGCGAGGAAACGCUGCCUGCCGUCGCCAGAGAACAGAGCAGAAAGGUCCCACAGUCUUUAAACGCGUCUUCAUGUUUCUGUGAAGCAGCGCGGCUUCAGCCCGCUAACAGUCAGCUAACAGUCAGCUAACCAGAGACAGCUAACAGGCAGCUAACCCGAGACAGCUGAGCUAAACUAACGAAGCCACGUUCAAACUAUAAAAUAGUCGUCGCGGUCCGUAAUCGGUGCACCGCUGCACCGAUACGAGCGUUCUGGGUUGGUGGAUGACGUCAUCAUGACGCGUUAAUAACCGCCGUACUUUGUCUGUCGGUUGUCUGUCAGCUGCGUGCGAAUUUAGGGGGGAAAAGUAUUGUGACUUCGUCAACCACCAACAUGUUCGUCUCGUCUUAGUCAAGGAAAAAGGUCAUUAAGCAACAUUUUUCGUCGACGAAAUGAACGCUGGCGUGAUGGAGGCUGAAUUUGCUCGCCGCGCACUCACAGGUCUGAUUAAGAAGAACUACUUUUCUUUAAAAGAACAUUUGAUUCUUCCUGCACACGCAACAUCCUUCAAGGAGAGAAUCAAAACAUUCUACGGCAACUGGACCGGGUCCAAAAGGCUACAAUGGUACAAAUACAAAUACUUCCAAACGGUACUUGAGUUUACAUUUGAGCCAAAUUAAGUAUUUUUAACUGGAUGACGUAAUAUUAUGGAUUAUAUGAGCAUGACGGGAUCGAUGAACAUAGUAUGUAUUAUAAUACUUGUUACUCUUUUGUACUGGUAUUUAGUUUAAAUGCAGUAGUUGUACUAGUAGAUACAAGUAUAGUAGUAUUUGUAGAGAGUGCGGUUUGUGACCCCGAGACGACGAAUGUGAAACACUCUUCGGUCCAAGCAGCUGUCAUUACCACGGCAACCAGAGGUUCCAAACAAUCACCAUGGAGACGCUGUCAGAGAAAAGUCUCAUUCAAGUGGCAGGUCAACGGGAAGAAAGGGAUAUUGUCUGAGAUUAAAAUGCUCCGUUUACUUGAAUUACGUUUCGUAUGCUUUCCAAAUGAAAUGCUAUUUACUAGAAUACACGGUUAUUUUCUCUCAGAUUAAAGUAGCGAGUUUAAAGAAAACAAUCAUGGAUCAUUUGCAAUAAAAGAGCAAGAAUGAGGACAAAUUACAAAUUUAAGUUAAUUUACAAGAGAAAAGCUCAAAUAUUCUCUGAAAGUAAACUAUUUUAAAGGUAAAUUGAAAAGAUAUUUUCCAUAAAUUCAAAUCAACAUGUGUAGAUGCUUUUAUUAUGGCGGUCGAACAGGGUUGUUAGAACGUGUUGCUAGGAUACGAGGGUGAGGAAAUGUGAGGGAGUUCAUAGAGGGUGAGGCAGCGAGAGACGUCUCACAUUCACCUCCACAAGAUGCUCCACCAACACCAGAGCCUCCAGGUGGCCCCGUGAGCCCAAAACUACAGCGCUCACUUCAGCCACAGCAGUCAGAGUUCCCCUGACCAAUGGUCCUUGAACACAUCAUGCGUAAGUCAGAUUCUGUUAAAAACAUUACAGUCCAAACUUUGUGAAAGUGCAUCAUUUAUUCAUAUGAGAUCAACCGUCAUGUGACCAGAAGUCAGAGAAACUGACUGAACACAACAACUAACAACAACUAACAUGUUGGUGGUUCUUGUGCACCGACUACGGACCGCAACGACUAUUUUACGCUUCGGCGAGUUUGAACGUGGCUUCGUUAGUUUAGCUCAGCUGUCUCGGGUUAGCUGCUUGUUAGCAGGCUGAAGCCGCGCUGCUUCACAGAAACAUGAAGACACGUUUAAAGACCGUCAGACCUUUCUGCUCUGUUCUCUGGCGACGGCAGGCAGCGUUUCCUCGCUGGAUGAGACGCUCCGUCACAAACGCGUCUAACGUAAUAAAGUCAUUGCAGGUUUUGAAGCCUCACGAAUUUCAACUAUAGUUCCCGCCUGUUCAAGACUGUUAAACUGUCUCGUUCGUUCGUUACUAAGCAACAGACGCGUGUGAAAUAAUGUAUUGCAACGAUUGUAGGACGUUAAGGGGUCUCUUUUGUUGGGACGAGCAACUUCACAGUGGAAACCAUAAGGAGGGACAUCUAAUGGACAACCAAGUACUGCAAGCUAGACUAUUAGGCAGUUGUAGACACAACACAGGGGGUCCCUGGGCCUGAGAAGGGAAGAAAAGGAGUUUAAUGUGGCUGUUAUGGCGCGUUUCCACCGAGCGGUGCGGGUCGGGUCGGGUCCCUUUUAUUUGUGUCUCCACUCCCAAAAUUUGAGAAUGGUACCAACAAUCCGAACCGUACCACCUUUUGGGUUCCCUUCCGUUGGGGCACCUGGCACAGCUGUUUGGUACUAAGGGGCGGAGCUAGACUCACUGCAGAGCGUUGAUUGGUUGAAAGAGUGUCGUCAUUUGCGCUGUGUUUUUCCUUGCAGCCUUUGCUCAAACAAAGAUGGUCGUCUCCUUGUGACAAACAGCCACAUGUGGAGAAGCAGGAACAGGAUCGGCUGCACGUCCUCCGUUGUUGUUUGCGGUUAGCUUUCAGUUUCAAAAAAGUCAAACACUUUGAAUCCGUAGAUUACUGCCUUAAUGGUCUUAUUGCUGCUAUUUGAUGACGAAUGCAUACACACUAAGCCAAAUUAAGUAUAUCUAUUAUUUUUAACAAAGGUUAAAUGUUAUUUCACAAUUUUCAAACUAUGUCCCCAAUUUCUUAUGAAAUGACCUUGGUUUUCAGUCAUUGGGGGCUGAAUUCCUACCCUGGUCAUGGUAGUACAGUGUACACGGGGCUGUGUAUUUGUACCUGGUAUGGUACCUGCUGAGCCCUGCCUGGAUCUCCACGUCUCCCUUUUACUGAGUGGCCUUCUUCACGUUGUUGUUCAUGAAACUCUGUUUGCUGAGUAUCGUUGAGAAGAAUCCAUAUAACGAAGGAGAAAGCAGCCGUGGGUUUGGUCCUGUUGUUGUUGUUUGGUUCAACUGAGUGGUGACUAAACAGGAAGUCAGGGAGAAGAUGUCCUCCAGUGAUGCUGGACAGCUCCUCCCCAGAAUGCUGCGCUCUGAUUGGCCGACACCUCUGCUGAACGGCUACUCAAGGAGAAGCUAAAGUGUGCUGGCGUUCAGUGGAGGAGCCGCUGUGCGUCUCAGGCUGGAUUUGAAUUGUCCAAUUUGCUUAGCAAGCUUCCUACCUGACGCUAAGGAAAGGAGCUCCAAUACUUAAAUAGUGACGUAUCAUCGGUUCGUCCACAAUAAAUAAUGAUCAUGAUGUGGACACGCAGAUCAUGUGAGUAACCGUUAGCAUCACUCAUUUACAUUAAUAAAGCUUUUCUUUGGACCUGGUAACACAUGAAGGCAUCUGAGAUGCUUCUUUGUAGCCGCUGCAGACUGACGUCACCAACAUGCGUCUCCGUCCGUCACGACUACGCAGCUCAGUGGAAGAGGAGUCCAUUCCCUGAACACCGCGUUGUCUUUUCCUAACUCAACCGUCCCAACCACCUUCCCUUGACCCUGUGGCGUUUUCUACAGAGGUCAAGGAUUAGUGGUUACAAAUAGACGUGAGGAGGUCGCAUAUGAACCCAACCACACACUUCCUGUCCCUGUGUUGACCUCCUGAACAUCAGAACACUUCCCAGGUUUCUCUCUCAGGUCCUCCUCCUCUUUCCUGUUGCUCAUGAUGCCCCGCCCCUCUCAUUUGAUGCCCCGCCCCCCACGCAACAUCCGGGUCAAAAGUUUGGAUGUGGAAAAGAAAAAAGCUAUGAAAGUCGAACAGAUUUAAAACUGAAAAUAUAAAAUCUGCAACUGAACAAUAUAAUACAGCAAAUAAUUAAAAAAAAUGUUUCCAUGGCGAUGGAUUUAGUCUCUUGAGUGUUUGGUCACUGAGUUUUGUUCAGGCUGAGACGUACCGGUGACUCCUCAGAGCUGUGUGUGUGUGUGUGUGUGUGUGUAAGGCGCUAACAAUGGACUCAGCCAGCUCUACACACAGCAGCAGAAAGAGGUCAACAAAGAGUGCGAGCCCUCUCAGGGCCGCUCUGAUUGGUCUCCUGCUGUCCAACGCCAGCCUCUGAUUGGACGCUGACACUCAAACACGUGAAACGCUGCAGCAUUUUCUUCCUUUUUCCUCGUUGACCCGGCUUCACGUGGUCAGAACAGAACGCCGUGUCCCGUCGGAGCUUCAAGGCGCUUCAUUCAAAUGAGAGCGGUGUGUGGGAGGGGCCUCUGUUUCUGGCCCUCAUUUGCAUACUUCUUCUAGGCCAACAUCCCACAAUGCCCUGUUUUCUUUUUUUGAAUGCAUUAUUGAGGGUUCCUUAAAGAAGGAAGAGGCCUCAGACUUCAGAGAGCUCUUUGAAAAAGGUGUCAGUUGGUUUGUAGCUCCAUGUUUUUCAACCAGAGAAAACUUACAACACAAUAAUAAUAUUUCAGAGCAAUCAUUAACGUCAAACAAACCUUCUGCUCUCAUGAUUGCUACUCGUGCGAAUCUGGCGACAGUUUUUAUUGAGAAAGGGAUCGUGCUGCUUUUGGUUUAAAGGAGUAAAAAGUGUUGAUUCUGACUAGAGUCUUCGUGUUGUUUUAUGAGUAUAUUAUUAACAGAUUCCUUUCUAUGAUCCCUGGCAAUACAGAAUAUUCACAUCCAAUAAUUAUAUUGGGUCUUCAGGUGCUACCAGUUCGACUAGCAUCGCCCCGUGACCUCUGUGGAAGGUCGCGGGGGUCAUACAGGUCGUUACACCGCUGAUGGUAAAUGUCAGUGACCGUGGUGAGGGAGACAAAUAACAGACGAUGAAGGUUGAUGCUCGGAGGAAUGUUUGAUCCACUCACAUCUACAUGAAUACGUUAAAGGUCUGAAUGUGGAAAGAAUUUAAAGACGAUGAUGUUCCUCAAAGAGAAGUUAGUAACAUUUAAAGAUUCUAUUAGCAGGUCAAUCUAAAAGCAAAAACAAGAUGUUUAAUAGAAACGCCGCCAGACCGCCAACUUUCGUCUACUUCAAAGCGUCUUUGAAGGAGGCAAACUGACUUCUGAUCUCUUUUAAUACACCUUCAAGUUCUCCUAUUCCACUAAAUAUCUCCUCACAUGAUGAAGCUGAUAAACAAGGUGACGUCUUUAACUUUCAUCACAUACAACAGGGAACAGAUGUUUACACUCAACCGUGUGGUUGUUAGAAUAGUUGCAUCUAUGUCAGUCGUGUUCCUUUAUUUGAAAUCAAGCAGAUCACAUGAAGGAGGCUCCUCCUCUCCGGCGUCUCGUUAGAGAGACAAAGUACCAGGUGGUCAGACCGGGACGUCCACCUUCCCCCAAACAAUGGCUGCUUCCUGUUCCUCCUUUUAACAUGCGUGUGUAUAUUCACGUUUUGCGCCUCCGUCCUCCGGUUCCUCUCACAAGGGAAAGAAAAAAAACAGAACUCGCCCCAUGGUCUCCAUGGUAACCAACAGUGCCUCUCUUUGAAUAUUCCCACUCAGGUGCUUUAGUCCUUGAACCCAGCGCGACUGCUUCAUGCUCCGCCUUUCUGUGCGGGAGGUUUGUUUUUGAGUUUACUGGGUCCCUGAAGGGGCAUCGGGAGCGUGACGUGUGAUGGAGUUCAUGCUUCUGUUGCCAUCUGUUUCUUUAAGUUAUUGACUAAAAUCUGAAACCAUAUUUAAUGGAAGGAAUCUGCUUGAGAGAAUAAUGUUAGUGUGUCGAAGUGGUAUAAAAGUCUCCUUAGGGGGAGGAGCCAGUUCUCUGCUGAUAGUCACAUGGUCCUGGACCACUUUAAUGUUGACAAAUGAGAGGGGAGGCGACCAGCAGCUGAAGCUUCGGGGGGGGUCCUCGCAACAUGUUAAUGUCAGUGUGGAACACAAACAUUUUAACUGUUGUGAUGGCCCACGUGUCUGUGGUGCUGGUCCACGUGGUCCACGUGUCUGUGGUGAUGAUCCACGUGUCUGUUGUCCUGGUGUCUGUGGUGAUGGUCCCACGUGUCUGUGGUGCUGGUCCACGUGUCUGUUGUCCUGGUGUCUGUGGUGAUGGUCCCACGUGUCUGUGGUGCUGGUCCACGUGGUCCACGUGUCUGUGGUGCUGGUCCACGUGUCUGUUGUCCUGGUGUCUGUGGUGAUGGUCCCACGUGUCUGUGGUGCUGGUCCACGUGGUCCACGUGUCUGUGGUGCUGGUCCACGUGGUCCACGUGUCUGUGGUGCUGGUCCACGU
ensembl:lncRNA